AUUAAUAAUGUUAUCGGUUAAAAUUCUUUAUGGGCGUAUCUUAUAUUGUAUUCAUAUAUCCAAACGCGAAAUAAACAUCAAUUAUAUUUAUAAUAUCAGUGUUCUAUUGGUUGAUUUCUUAUUUGUGGGCGUAUCUUCCUUCCAUAAAGAAUUAUCUCGAGAAAUUUUACAGUAAAAUAACAAAUGAUGCUGAAUCAGUUAAUAUAAAUUAAGAUGUAUAAGUAUUUUUAUUAGUGAUCUCCUAACAAAAUUUCAAAAAUGGCAGAUUGUAAGACUCAUCCAUAUUUGAUAAUUUCUUCCGGAGAGUGGGAGAGUCAGAAUUUAAGCCACAUGUAAGAUAUGACGUCAUCUGGGAAUCUGCGUGAAGUCACAUUCCACGUUAUCCAAUCGGCAUCUCAGACGGAAGAGAGGCAGUCACUUCUCCACCUGUUGGCGAACAGCGAAUGGAAGGUCACCAUGACAACCAGGUAGAUUCUCACCUGAUUGUUUCAGCAGCGAUGCUAGGAACGCGAUGCUAUUGAGGAUUUACUUGCUGUGAUUGUUGUGAUCACCGUCUCCAAUGACUGCUAAAAUCUCGGUACAUUACCAGAUACCAAAGCAUCGACCAGUUUUGUGUAUGUCAUGGGUAACUGUCCGAUAUCUCCCCAUGCUCUUUUAUUCGCUGCCACUCGACCCGUGGGAAAUAACAAUGAAAAUUCGACACCAGUCAUUAAAAAGAAAGAAGAAACGGUCUCAGAUAAGAGACCAGAAAUUUCUCAACAAGAAAAUCCAAGUAAGUAUACCUUAAAUGGAAUUUUCCAUGCAUAAGAGGUAAAUAGUUAACUGCACCCGGAUUCAGAUCAAUAUAUAUAAACCAAAGAGUUAUUUUUAGUAACAAGCAUCUUUAUUUACGUUAAGCUGAUUUAUAUUUAGUUUCUAAUCUAAUUCUGUAUCGUUGAAUGCACUUAAUAUAAAUAUGAUUCAUUUAACUUGGUACAACGAUAUUUUUAUUGUAUAUAUUGAAAUAAAAAGAAAAUCUUAAAAAUGGUUUAGAGGUGAAAUUUGUUAUUGUUGACGUCAGCAGGGAUCAAAAUAUGGUUGUCUGUACAAAUGUUGUCGUAUCGCUUUUCCAUCUAAGCUUAGCAGCAAUAUUCUUCUAGCCCCUUAGGCAUCUUCGUGCUUCUUUCUAUAAUCCAAUUAUUCUAUCGUUGUCUCCUGCAUCGAAUUCCAGUACAACAAUAAAUCGAACAGUGUUCAGACUAAGAAUGUUUAGAUUUUUUUAUAGCUUUUAUACAUUAAACUUUAAAAUUAC
rnacentral:lncRNA from 1 species